GAAAACAGCCCUCCAGACCCCAGAACACCUCACCAGGUGACUAGUCAGGAAAACAGCCCUCCAGACCCCAGAACACCUCACCAGGUGACUAGAGAGGAAAACAGCCCUCCAGACCCCAGAACACCUCACCAGGUGACUAGAGAGGAAAACAGCCCUC